UAGGGAAUAUUGGUAAUGGGCGAAAGCCUGAACCAGCAACGCCGCGUGUGCGAUGAAGGCCUUCGGGUUGUAAAGCACUUUUGACCGGGACGAGGAAGGACGGUACCGGUGGAAUAAGCCUCGGCUAACUACGUGCCAGCAGCCGCGGUAAAACGUAGGAGGCGAGCGUUAUCCGGAUUGACUGGGUGUAAAGCGCGUGCAGGCGGUUAGCUAAGUUGGGUGUGAAAGCUCCUGGCUCAACUGGGAGAGGUCGAUCCAGACUGGCUGACUUGAGGAUGGUAGGGGAAGGUGGAAUUCCGGGUGUAGUGGUGAAAUGCGUAGGUAUCCGGAGAAACCCCAGUGGCGAAGGCGGCCUUCUGGA
rnacentral:rRNA from 1 species